CGGGCCAGGCGGGAUGCCUAUACAUGCAGUCGAGCGAACUGAUUAGAAGCUUGCUUCUAUGACGUUAGCGGCGGACGGGUGAGUAACACGUGGGCAACCUGCCUGUAAGACUGGGAUAACUCCGGGAAACCGGAGCUAAUACCGGAUAACAUUUUCUCUUGCAUAAGAGAAAAUUGAAAGAUGGUUUCGGCUAUCACUUACAGAUGGGCCCGCGGUGCAUUAGCUAGUUGGUGAGGUAACGGCUCACCAAGGCAACGAUGCAUAGCCGACCUGAGAGGGUGAUCGGCCACACUGGGACUGAGACACGGCCCAGACUCCUACGGGAGGCAGCAGUAGGGAAUCUUCCGCAAUGGACGAAAGUCUGACGGAGCAACGCCGCGUGAGUGAUGAAGGCUUUCGGGUCGUAAAACUCUGUUGUUAGGGAAGAACAAGUACAAGAGUAACUGCUUGUACCUUGACGGUACCUAACCAGAAAGCCACGGCUAACUACGUGCCAGCAGCCGCGGUAAUACGUAGGUGGCAAGCGUUAUCCGGAAUUAUUGGGCGUAAAGCGCGCGCAGGCGGUUUCUUAAGUCUGAUGUGAAAGCCCACGGCUCAACCGUGGAGGGUCAUUGGAAACUGGGGAACUUGAGUGCAGAAAAGAAAAGCGGAAUUCCACGUGUAGCGGUGAAAUGCGUAGAGAUGUGGAGGAACACCAGUGGCGAAGGCGGCUUUUUGGUCUGUAACUGACGCUGAG
rnacentral:rRNA from 2 species